rnacentral:misc_RNA from 2 species
AUUUCCCAGUCGAAUGAACUAGGGAACAUAAAGUAGGCAUCUGUAGUGGAUAUCUACUUGGUGAAUAUGUUUUGUAAAUCCUGUCCACCCCGUGGAUGGGUAGUCGGCAAAACGUCGGACUGUCAUAAGAAUUGAAACGCUGGCACACUGUUGGGUCCUGAGGCAACACGUUGUGUUGUCACCCUGCUUGGUGGUGGGGUGUGGACUUUGACUUC